rnacentral:lncRNA from 1 species
CCCCCCCCCCCUUUUCCUUCAGCUGAACCCUAGGUCCUCCCUUCUCAAGCACCAAACCGCCAUCAAGAAUGGCGUCUCGCCCUUCUGGCUUCGACUUACUGCUCUUUGGCCUCAAAACCCCCUUUAGCUUCGAUUUCGACGAAGCAAGAGUGGAUCGACGGCCAAAUCGCACGGUAUAGCCUCUUUUUCUCUCUUUCUUUGCUUUCUAUUAUAAUGAUGAAUGGAUCGAAGGAAAAAUGAACCCUGGAAAUGCAAAAGCUUCAAGAAAGUUGAGUAAAAAUCACCUUUUUCUAUUUGGUUGCUUUCUAUUGCUUGUGUGUAAAAAAAAAAAAAAGACCUUACAAUCGCUGUGUUCUUGGCUUUUAUAGCCGAAACAGAAAAAAGAAUAAAAUAAAUAAAAUUUUUCUCUUUCUUUUUUUUGCUGUUGUUGUGUUUGUCUCAUUCGUUUGCAGGUACGGAGUACGAGGCAUGCGCUAGCCCUUGGAGUGAGGCGUACGAAGGCGCGGGCGUGGCUAAGGCUGCUGGAGCGCUGGAGGCUAGCUGCGGCGCAAGCAUAGGCUAGGGUUUCUGCCUUGGUUUUGGCUUUUGGGCAUUGGGCCUAUUUGUAUUUGGGCUGGUUUUAUCAUUAGGCUUGGUGUAUUGGACCUUUAAACUGGGCAUUUAAUAGACUGUUAACAUUUAGAUUUUUUGUUUAUUUAUUUGGGCUUUAAUGUAGACCCGAGCAAAUUGGCCCGUUUACACUAAGUUUUUCAUAUUUUUUUCUUAAUUUGGUACGACACACUCACACACUUGGAGAAGAUGAUGAAAUAUUUCUGCUCUUUCCAUCCACUAGAAUAUAUAUAUAAGCAAUUAAACAUUGAAUUAUGGUAAUUAAACUUAAUUAACCUUUAAAAGAUUAGCAAUUAAUGUUAUUCAACUAAGUAUAAUGAAUGUAUAAGAUCAUAUUUUACCACUUCAUGAACCAAUAAAGGCC